CGGGCGGGCGCGGGCUGCCCGGUGGAGCUCGGUGCGGCUCCGUACACACGGUUCUCUCCUGAUGCAUGGGAAUCCCAGCCCGUGCCAGAGAUAGGGGCUGAACUUUAGUCUCUGAGCAAUUAAGGUGCCUGAAACUGCACUUCAUUAAUGGUUGUUAUGCAAUAAAACCGAUAAAACUGC